AUUUGACCUGUGAGUUCUUUGUGGACUUUCUAAAUUUCACACCAUCUAUGUCCUUAAAUAUCUGUUGCAGACUGGUCAAUAACAUGUCUGCCUUAAGAUCAGAAUCAUCUCCGGGGAUUUCUAUCAAGACACCACCUGUUAUUAAUCUCUUAAUUCUGGUAUCACUUAUGCCCAGAUCCGAUAAGGAAAUUUUCUCCCGUGCUACUCUUAGAAUUUCCGCGUAUGUUAUACCAGAGUCUUCGAUUAAAAUUGUUAUUGCCGAGGUUUAACCCCAGGAUCAGCCGAGGUCACUUCGCUUCUUUCAGCGUCUACCAUGGAAAACUUAGGCAUAGGACCAGCAUUAAUAGUCUUUCCAGGCGGUAUCUUUGAGCCCAAGGACUGCGCAUAACUCCUUUUGCCACCAGAAUUAUAGUUUCUCUUACUGCUAUUUAUUUUUCUAUUCUUACCUUUUUUCCUUUUAGAUGUAAUCAAGGGAGGUCCCGGGCGAAGAAAUCCAUCUGUUUUGGCUCCGCCCGUGUUCAGAUUUUCUCUGAGGAGGCGCGUUUCGUGGAUGAGCUGCGUCAUUCCCUCGGCCAGCUUGUCUAGGGAGCGGAUAAUCGCCCUAUCCAGUUCGACUCUGCCCUGUGGUUCGCUACCUACAUCACUAACACUGGAACUUCUCAAUUUGGUGGUAGCGAGAAGGGCCGCAGCCAAUCCGCUGUCUCCUCCGCCCAUUCCACCAUCUAUCAUCGCAGAGAAGCAGAGGAGCCAUCAGACACGGUCAUUCCUCCGCCUCGGAAUAAUCCGUCCUACAGAGGGAAGCAAGACCACAAGAGUCUUCAUCAUCUGAAGCGAUCACCACCGUCUCCAGAGCCCUAGAGGGUCCGACUUCACCUUCACCUCCGGUAGUCCUCCCGUGCCUUCUUAUCGGUACCAAUGUAAUAGAGGCACCCAGCCGUUCCACACUGACGAUAGCUGGUUGACUUUUCGCGCUCACCAUAGACGCGGAGGCCAGCCCUUUGCAUGAUGACGACCCGUGGGAAACAGGGACAAUAUUCCCCACGUGCCGGUUCUCGGACGGCUAUCCGACGCCGAGACGUUUAUUUCCUUAUUAUUGUCCAUGUCCAUUUUGAAUUGCGUGUUUUAUUUGCAAGAGUUUCCUUCUUUUGUUGAGACCUGAUAUUUGGUUAAUUGUUCCUGGUGUUUGUCCCACUUCUAUUCAUGUCAAUAGACCCAAGGAACAAUGUUCCAUAGUACACAGACACUUAAUACAGUUCAAAAUAUGAAGAAGUCAAAUCAAAGUAUAUCAAAAUAAAUUUCAUAGAUAUUCACAAGUUGCUAUAUCAAAGUAUUCACAGUUGACCUUUGUCACUUACCUUUUAAUUUGAUCUAUUCAAAUAGGCACUCAGUAAUAUAAUUCACUUCUCUUUGAAUAGGGAACCAAUCAAAUUAUUGUAAUUAAUAGAAUAAUUAACUCACUCUAAUUGUCUGGUAAGUACAAUAUAUAAAUUGACCCUUAUUUCAAUGUCCUAGCUAUUAUAUUAUAUUAUCACUUGUUUAAUAUUAUUUCUAUUUUAGGUACAGAAAACUUUAAAAGGAGCCAAAACUCAUUGUGGUGCAACAGUUUUUUUCAGAUACAGACAGCUUUCAAAAGAGCCAAUACUCAUUGUGGAGCAGUAAAAUUAGGUAUCCAGCAGAUCAUCAAGUCGGGUAAGGUAAAGGUAAGAAAUUUCUCUUUUGGUCACCCAAACCACGUUAUUUAUUUAUUUAUUUGUUCAUUGUUUAAUUUAUUUAUUGUCUAUACGAACCUUGUAGUAAAACCACUUUAAGUAAAUAAAUCCAUAUAUCCAAUCCCCAUCAAUUAUUGGUGAUUUUGUGACAUCUCUAUUAAUAAUAUUAAUUCAUC